AGAUUGUGGGUUCUACGCGUUUGUCAACAAAGUGAAAAACAUCUUGAAAAAAUUUUGAAUGUAGAAGAAUUUGUGAAGCGCGUUUUCAUGGUGAUUCACUCAAAUGACCCUGUAGCUCGGGCUUUAACAUUAAGGACACUUGGCUCGGUCGCAUGCGUAAUUCCGGAGAAACAACAAGUUCAUCAUUCAAUUCGGAAUGCUUUAGAUAGUCAUGAUAUCGUUGAAAUCGAAGCUGCCAUCUAUGCUAGCGUGCAAUUCGCUGCGCAGUCAAAGACACUAGGCUCGGUCGCAUGCGUAAUUCCGGAGAAACAACAAGUUCAUCAUUCAAUUCGGAAUGCUUUAGAUAGUCAUGAUAUCGUUGAAAUCAAAGCUGCCAUCUAUGCUAGCGUGCAAUUCGCUGCGCAGUCAAAGACACUAGGCUCGGUCGCAUGCGUAAUUCCGGAGAAACAACAAGUUCAUCAUUCAAUUCGGAAUGCUUUAGAUAGUCAUGAUAUCGUUGAAAUCGAAGCUGCCAUCUAUGCUAGCGUGCAAUUCGCUGCGCAGUCAAAGACACUAGGCUCGGUCGCAUGCGUAAUUCCGGAGAAACAACAAGUUCAUCAUUCAAUUCGGAAUGCUUUAGAUAGUCAUGAUAUCGUUGAAAUCGAAGCUGCCAUCUAUGCUAGCGUGCAAUUCACUGCGCAGUCAAAGACACUAGGCUCGGUCGCAUGCGUAAUUCCGGAGAAACAACAAGUUCAUCAUUCUAUUCGGAAUGCUUUAGAUAGUCAUGAUAUCGUUGAAAUCGAAGCUGCCAUCUAUGCUAGCGUGCAAUUCGCUGCGCAGUCAAAGACACUAGGCUCGGUCGCAUGCGUAAUUCCGGAGAAACAACAAGUUCAUCAUUCUAUUCGGAAUGCUUUAGAUAGUCAUGAUAUCGUUGAAAUCGAAGCUGCCAUCUAUGCUAGCGUGCAAUUCGCUGCGCAGUCAAAGUAGUUCCUGAUAACAUUGUAUUAACCCAAAUAUUGAAACCGCACCAUGAGUUCCUCAGUGGCAAUUUUCUUUUGUCUCUGCAAAACUCUUUGACUGCCUCCCCAAGCACUAUUAUAAACGUUGGAGGUCAAUGGCAAAUAACAUUAGAGACAUGUAUAAUUGAUCAACACGGCUUUGUUUGGAUAACUGAGCCGAAAAGUCUACUAGCUAGUUGCGCGUAACUGCCCCUCUCAGUUUAUGACGAUAACAACGUAGAGGAUACUGGAGUGGAGAGACUUGAUUGCCUUCUCUUAUUUUCAUCAUACUUGUGAGAAAACAUUCGAAAACACGAAUUAAUCCACCUAGCGGUGAAAGCUAGCUUUUCUCAUUAAAACUUGUUAUAUGUUGAUAUAGAUUUACACAAGCACUUGGUUUUCUAGAAAAAAUUCAUCUUGAUAAUUUUCUCUGGAUGUAUUUUUCUACUCUAAAUGACAAACUGUUGACAGCCAACAGCACAACUGUACCGAACAAUUAAAACAUAA